rnacentral:rRNA from 1 species
UACGAAGGGGGCUAGCGUUGCUCGGAAUCACUGGGCGUAAAGCGCACGUAGGCGGCUUUCUAAGUCAGGGGUGAAAUCCUGGAGCUCAACUCCAGAACUGCCUUUGAUACUGGAAAGCUUGAGUUCGAGAGAGGUGAGUGGAACUGCGAGUGUAGAGGUGAAAUUCGUAGAUAUUGGGAGGAACACCAGUGGCGAAGGCGACUUCCUGGCCUGUUCUUGACGCUGAGGCGCGAAAGCUAGGGGAGCAAACGGG